UAGACCAUUCAUGGACUUCUCAAUGUGUUCCCUUGUGAUUGAGCUGGUUUGAUUGCCAUAUACCUUUGGGUCUAGCUUGCUAGUUGGUGGAAACUCCUGGUAGGUAGAGUAGUAAAAGUUUUGAAUUCAGUAUCAAAAACUAUUAUUAUACAACUGAUUGUCUGAUUAAGAAUGAGAAGUAUAUUACAUGGAGGCAACGAAUGGAAACAGGAUUCACUCCUGCAAGCAUUUCACGUGCGAACUCUUCGUCUGUCCUCCAUGCAGACUUGUCCUCUGCAGUUUAUUACAAUAGGUACUUAAAUUAUUUGUUAUCUUAGGAGAGUUAAGCGGCUUUUCUGCAUAAUUUUAAAAGUUUGCAAAAAGACACUGGUAGCUAGUGUCUAUCAUAUCAGGGAAAGCGAUGCUUGAAGGUCAGUAAGCUGGCUUAAGUUUAUUGAGGUGAGAUGAAAAGAUGUGAUGUUACCUUUGAUUACAUCAGGCAUUGGGAACUUGAGGAACUGCUC
rnacentral:lncRNA from 1 species